rnacentral:rRNA from 1 species
UCGAACGCGAAAGUGGAGCAAUCCAUGAGUAGAGUGGCAAACGGGUGAGUAACGCGUGGGCGACCUACCUUCGAGCGGGGGAUAACCUUCCGAAAGGAGGGCUAAUACCGCAUGACAUCCCGUGUUUAGAUACACGGAGAUCAAAGCCGGGGAUCGUAAGACCUGGCACUUGAAGAGGGGCCCGCGUCCGAUUAGCUAGUUGGUGAGGUCACGGCUCACCAAGGCUCCGAUCGGUAUCCGGCCUGAGAGGGCGGACGGACACACUGGAACUGAGACACGGUCCAGACUCCUACGGGAGGCAGCAGUGGGGAAUUGUUCACAAUGGGCGCAAGCCUGAUGACGCAACGCCGCGUGGAGGAUGAAGACCUUCGGGUCGUAAACUCCUUUCGACCGAGAUGUAUUCCUUGCGACCUAACACGUCGCGAGGGUGACAGUAUCGAGGGAAGAAGCCCCGGCUAACUCUGUGCCAGCAGCCGCGGUAAUACAGGGGGGGCAAGCGUUGUUCGGAAUUACUGGGCGUAAAGGGUUUGUAGGUGGCUUGUUAAGUCAGACGUGAAAUCCCUCAGCUUAACUGGGGAACUGCGUCUGAUACUGAUGAGCUUGAGUGCAGGAGAGGAACGCGGAAUUCCAGGUGUAGCGGUGAAAUGCGUAGAUAUCUGGAGGAACACCGGUGGCGAAGGCGGCGUUCUGGACUGCAACUGACACUGAAAAACGAAAGCCAGGGGAGCAAACGGGAUUAGAUACCCCGGUAGUCCUGGCCCUAAACCAUGAAUGCUUGGUGUGGCGGGUAUCGAUCCCUGCCGUGCCGGAGUUAACGCGAUAAGCAUUCCGCCUGGGGAGUAC